rnacentral:lncRNA from 1 species
AAAAAGAUUAAGAAAAACAACCAUCGAAAAAAAAAGGAAACAAAAGAAAAGAGAAAUUUGAUGGAACGAGAAAAAGCACUCACCGAAUGAGAAACACUCAGUUGGGUAUAAAAAAAUUUCCAAAAAAAAAGAACUGAGUAACGAAACUGAAAAAGAAAAAGAAAUGUAAAUGAUAUGUUUGAGAAAACAUAGUGAAAAGAAUAAUGACAUUGACUCUGAACCCAAAACCAUUUGGUUUUCCUUUUGUUUGUGUUUACACCACCGUAACCCAAAACCCGUUACAACCCAAAAGACCUAAAAAAG